rnacentral:tRNA from 1 species
GUGGAUGUAGCUCAGCGGUAGAGUCCCGGUCUGUGGAACCGGUCGUCGCCGGUUCAACCCCGGUCAUCCACC